UGUAUACGUGAUAGAAUAGGUGCGAGUGCUGAGAAAUCUCAUUCGCUUAAAAGGGAAGCCGGUUAAAAUCCGGCACGGACCCGCCACUGUAGAGAACGCUAAUCGAGAUUGGCAAAUGCCUGAAAGAUGGAUCCACUGAAGCAGCAUUAGUGCUUUGGGAAGGAAUCGGGCACGAUGUUCUGAGUCAGGAAACCUGCCUGUUUAAACAACACUGU
rnacentral:ncRNA from 2 species